rnacentral:rRNA from 1 species
AGAUUGAACGCUGGCGGCAUGCCUAACACAUGCAAGUCGAGCGGGCGUAGCAAUACGUCAGCGGCAGACGGGUGAGUAACGCGUGGGAACGUACCUUUUGGUUCGGAACAACACAGGGAAACUUGUGCUAAUACCGGAUAAGCCCUUACGGGGAAAGAUUUAUCGCCAAAAGAUCGGCCCGCGUCUGAUUAGCUAGUUGGUGAGGUAACGGCUCACCAAGGCGACGAUCAGUAGCUGGUCUGAGAGGAUGAUCAGCCACAUUGGGACUGAGACACGGCCCAAACUCCUACGGGAGGCAGCAGUGGGAAUUUUGCGCAAUGGGCGAAAGCCUGACGCAGCAACGCCGCGUGUGUGAUGAAGGUCUUCGGAUUGUAAAGCACUUUCGACCGGGACGAACACCCUUGGCUAACAUCCAAGGGCCUGACUGUACCGGGAGAAGAAGCACCGGCUAACUCUGCGCCAGCAGCCGC